UCCGUAGGUGAACUGCGGAAGGAUCAUUCAUAAUAAAAGUGUUUUAUGGCACUUUUUAAACAAUCCAUAUCCACCUUGUGUGCAAUGUUUUUUUGAAAGGGUCUCUCUCUCUCUUGAGAGGGAAGAGGCUUUUUUUCUCUAACUUACUCAACUCUUAUUUUUAAUUGCCAUUUGUCUGAAAAUAAAUUAUUAUUAUGAAUAACUUAAUUCAAAAUAUAACUUUCAACAACGGAUCUCUUGGCUCUCGCAUCGAUGAAGAACGCAGCGAAAUGCGAUACGUAAUGUGAAUUGCAGAAUUCAGUGAAUCAUCGAAUCUUUGAACGCAUAUUGCGCUCUCUGGUAUUCCGGAGAGCAUGCUUGUUUGAGUAUCAGUAAACACCUCAAGUCUCGAGAUAUUUUAUAUUUCGAGACUUGGAUUUGAGUGAUCCUAACUACAAGUCGUCUUUUUUGACGGCUAGAAGGCAGGUCACUUGAAAUUCAGGUGCAGCUGAACUUUUCUUCUGAGCUAAAAGCAUUAUUUUAUUUAGUCUCUAUUGACUAUUACUUUUUGCUGCAGCUAAUAUAAAGGGAGAAUCGUUUCUUAAUGCUGACUGAUGCAGGAAUUUAUCAGUUUCUCGUAAAAAAGGACUGUUAGACUCGAUCUCAAAUCAAGUAAGACUACCCGCUGAACUUAAGCAUAUCAAUAAGCGGAGGA
rnacentral:rRNA from 1 species